rnacentral:rRNA from 1 species
CCUACGGGUGGCAGCAGUGAGGAAUAUUGGUCAAUGGACGCGAGUCUGAACCAGCCAAGUAGCGUGAAGGAUGACUGCCCUACGGGUUGUAAACUUCUUUUAUACAGGAAUAAAGUGAGUCACGUGUGCCUUUUUGUAUGUACCUUAUGAAUAAGGACCGGCUAACUCCGUGCCAGCAGCCGCGGUAAUACGGAGGAUCCGAGCGUUAUCCGGAUUUAUUGGGUUUAAAGGGAGCGUAGGUGGGUUGUUAAGUCAGUUGUGAAAGUUUGCGGCUCAACCGUAAAAUUGCAGUUGAUACUGGCAGUCUUGAGUACAGUAGAGGUAGGCGGAAUUCGUGGUGUAGCGGUGAAAUGCUUAGAUAUCACGAAGAACUCCGAUUGCGAAGGCAGCUUACUAAACUGCUACUGACACUGAGGCUCGAAAGUGUGGGUAUCAAACAGGAUUAGAUACCCUGGUAGUC